rnacentral:lncRNA from 1 species
GGGACUCUGAGUUCUGGAAACUUCGGAAAGUCGUUCUGCAUUGGGGUUGGUUAAAAAGAGGCAGCUGAGCUGAGAAAACACCGUUCACUCAACUUCCCUCCUGCCCCCUGUGCCUGGUUCUUCCAGGUGGCAACUCUGUCACCCGCACAACAAAAGCAGAUCGUUUCCAGUUUCACAGUCUCGCUGGUAUGACAAUUCUUCUUCACGGCUGAUUUCAGCCCCCGCUUUCCUAAGGUCUGGUGUUUUAAACACAUUUUCUUGGAGCCUCAACAUGUUCUAUGCAUUUUUCACAGCAUGGACGUUCUCGUAAGGUUAAACAGUUUGCCGUUCAUGACUUACCGUGGCAAGUCUGUGUUUGUCGUUUGGCUUUGUGUGUUAUUUUUAUUCCGGUAUAACUGACGUAUACAGUUACAACGGCUGCAGGUGUGCCAGGUGGUGACUUUUUUUUUUAUCUAUACUGUGAGAUGAUCCCUCCAUGAGUCUAGGUAGGUCUGUCAGCAUCGUUGGUUACAGC